GACAGAGGGUGCAAACGUUGCUCGGAAUUAUUGGGCGUAAAGGGCGCGUAGGCGGAUAGGUAAGUCAGAUGUGAAAUUCCAAAGCUCAACUUUGGAGCUGCGUCUGAAACUGCUUGUCUCAGAGGCAUGGAGGAGAAAGCGGAAUUCCACAAGUAGCGGUGAAAUGCGUAGAUAUGUGGAAGAACACCUGUGGCGAAAGCGGCUUUCUAUCCUAAGCCUGACGCUGAGGCGCGAGAGCGUGGGGAGCAAACAGG
rnacentral:rRNA from 1 species